GCCUCGUUAGCUCAAGUGGUUAGAGCGCCCGACUCAUAAUCGGUGGGUUGCUGGUUCAAAUCCAGUGCGAGGCACCA
rnacentral:tRNA from 1 species